rnacentral:rRNA from 1 species
GACGAGCGCUGGCGGCGUGCCUAAUACAUGCAAGUUGAGCGCUGAAGGUUGGUCUUUGUCUUUCCUGGUUGAGCAGCGAACGGGUGAGUAACGCGUGGUGAAUCUCCCUUUGAGCGGGGGACAACAUUUGGAAACGAAUGCUAAUCCCGCAUAAAAACUUUAAACACAAGUUUUAAGUUUGAAAGAUGCAAUUGCAUCACUCAAAGAUGAUCCCGCGUUGUAUUAGCUAGUUGGUGAGGUAAAGGCUCACCAAGGCGAUGAUACAUAGCCGACCUGAGAGGGUGAUCGGCCACACUGGGACUGAGACACGGCCCAGACUCCUACGGGAGGCAGCAGUAGGGAAUCUUCGGCAAUGGACGAAAGUCUGACCGAGCAACGCCGCGUGAGUGAAGAAGGUUUUCGGAUCGUAAAGCUCUGUUGGUAGAGAAGAACGUGUGUGAGAGUGGAAAGCUCAUCAAGUGACGGUAACUAACCAGAAAGGGACGGCUAACUACGUG